GCAUACUAACCUGGGCUCUGGGCAAGUCAGAAAUGCAGGAGAAUUAAUGUCCUCGGAAGCCACCCUCAACCAAUGGCCAGGGAUUUGACGGAGAAGUUAUAAGAAGACCAUUUGCCAAACCUCGUAAGUGGCAUGACUAGGACUCAACUUCAGAAAACCAGAAGAGCAAGACAUUGGGGAAUUAAUAUCUGCUAGAGAAAUCUGUGCCUCUGCUUGGCCUGACCGUGGCUGGGAUACAACAGUGGGACUCCUGCUCACAAACUGGACGGUGGGUGAAAGGCCCUCCCGAUGAGCCUUCCAAAAGUUUUGUCAGAUGCCAGAGUGAGGUUGGAUAACACCACUGGGCCACAACAUCCAUGCAUGCAAGAUCUGUUUCCUGGGAUGAAAGUAUACCUAGGAGACCAAAUGCCUCCCACCUUGUCCCUUAAAGCUAAUUUCCCUUUGGCUGACACUGUGCAGCAAAGUGUAUUAAUACCCACGAUGGGU